rnacentral:rRNA from 1 species
UACGUAGAGAGCAAGCGUUGUUCGGAUUUACUGGGCGUAAAGGGCGCGUAGGCGGCGCUGUAAGUCACUUGUGAAAUCUCUGAGCUUAACUCAGAACGGCCAAGUGAUACUGCAGUGCUAGAGUGCAGGAAGGGGCAAUCGGAAUUCUUGGUGUAGCGGUGAAAUGCGUAGAUAUCAAGAGGAACACCUGAGGUGAAGACGGGUUGCUAGGCUGACACUGACGCUGAGGCGCGAAAGCUAGGGGAGCAAACGGG